GUGCUUACGUUGGCAGCACAUAAACUAAAAUUGGGAAGAUACGCAGAAGAGUAAUAUGGUCCCUACACAAGGAUGUCACAAAAAUUUGUGAAGCAUUCCAUAUUAAA
ensembl:snRNA U6 U6 spliceosomal RNA